rnacentral:lncRNA from 1 species
GCAGUGUUUGGUCUAUGGGAGAGAGAAGAAAAGAGAAAGAGAGAACGAAAAGGGGAAAUGGUACUGUAAAAUAUGAUGAAUUCACCCUUGUGGAUGGUCCUGGCCAGGUGGUCCUGAGGAUCCUGCCAGGAAGAGAUGACUGCUCCUUGGCAACUCUUGUUUUGUUACUGGCCUUGGGACAAUUUCAGAAUGGAGAUAUUUUGACAUCCUCGGUACUUUGAAGAUGUUUCCACUUCCCUUCGAAGGUGUUCAAUGUCCGUACAUAGAAUGAAAGGUGCCACCUUCUCCAGCAUGAGACAUAUCCCCAUGUGAUCCCUUACCACGCAGACUCCUGGC